rnacentral:rRNA from 1 species
UACGGAGGGGACUAGCGUUGUUCGGAAUUACUGGGCGUAAAGCGCACGUAGGCGGAUUUGUAAGUCAGGGGUGAAAUCCUGGAGCUCAACUCCAGAACUGCCUUUGAUACUGGUGAGCUUGAGUCCGGAAGAGGUGAGUGGAACUGCGAGUGUAGAGGUGAAAUUCGUAGAUAUUCGCAAGAACACCAGUGGCGAAGGCGGCUCACUGGUCCGGUACUGACGCUGAGGUGCGAAAGCGUGGGGAGCAAAG